rnacentral:rRNA from 1 species
UACAGAGGGUGCAAGCGUUAGUCGGAAUCACUGGGCGUAAAGGGCGCGUAGGCGGUCUGCUAAGCGUGCGGUGAAAGCCUGGGGCUCAACCCCAGGUCUGCCGUGCGAACUGGUGGACUAGAGCACUGUAGAGGCAGGUGGAAUUUCGGGUGUAGCGGUGGAAUGCGUAGAGAUCCGAAAGAACACCGGUGGCGAAGGCGGCCUGCUGGGCCAGUUGCUGACGCUGAGGCGCGACAGCGUGGGGAGCAAACAGG